rnacentral:rRNA from 1 species
GACGAACGCUGGCGGCGUGCUUAACACAUGCAAGUCGAACGGAAAGGCCCUGCUUUUGUGGGGUGCUCGAGUGGCGAACGGGUGAGUAACACGUGAGUAACAUGCCCUUGACUUUGGGAUAACUUCAGGAAACUGGGGCUAAUACCGGAUAGGAGCUCCUGAUGCAUGGUGGGGGUUGGAAAGUUUCGGCGGUUGGGGCUGGACUCGGUGCUUCUCCGCUUGUUGGUGGGGUAGUGGCUUACCAAGGCUUUGACGGGUAGCCGGCCUGAGAGGGUGACCGGCCACAUUGGGACUGUGAUACGGCCCAGACUCCUACGUGAGGCAGCAGUGGGGAAUAUUGCACGAUGGGCGGAAGCCUGAUGCAGCAACGCCGCGGGCGGGAUGACGUCUUUCGGGUUGUAAACCGCUUUCGCCUGUGACGAAGCGUGAGUGACGGUAAUGGGUAAAAAAGCACCGCCUAACUACGUG